AUUAUCCUCAUUACGCUGGCUAUCUGAACAGACGUGACAGACGAAACAAUAUUUUCACCGUAAGACUACCAUUUCAACCAUGGAGAAUCUAUGCAAAAAAACACAGGUCUCGGAGCAGACUUCACACAAGAUCAUAGAAAAGAGACGGCGAGACCGGAUCAACUCCUGCUUAUCGGAGCUCAGUCAAACCGUUCCGGCAGCUUUCUCUAAACAAACAUCUGGAAAAUUAGAAAAGGCAGAGAUAUUAGAGAUGACAGUUGAUUAUCUGCGUGCAAUUCAAGCAACAGAAAUUGGUUUACGCUUUGAAAAUAGUGAGUAUUCGAAAUGGCGGGCAUCUGUCAGACGACGCGUUGCAGUCACGUGCACUUAUGUCAGAUCACGUGUAGCACGUGUAGACCACGUGCCAGUUAUUAUCCCCGGGUACGACAAACAUGAAUCUAAAUGAGAAGCAAAAAUUUAUUACGAGAUAAAAUCAAUAAUUUUAUCACUUUCAUACUCGUGAUCUGUGUUACCAGUGAUGUUUUUCACAUUCAAUGGGCGGGUUUUAACAAAUAAUAAAGUUUUCUUUUUGUUCUGCAGGUGAAUGGUUUUCUUCGGACAUUUGGGCCGAUUUCAUGCAUCAUUAUCAAGUGGGCUACAAUGACUGCAUCCGGGAAAUCCAGCGCUUUAUGACAGACGUAGAGGGCUUAACGGUGACGGACGACAGAUGUGUCCGCCUGGUGUCGUACCUACAGACCCGUUUCCGGCCGGAAUCCUCCGUGGCGGGGGGAGCGGCGUACAGGGACUUGCUACAGCGGCUAGCGGUGACCACACAAUCCAGGCGCGGCAUGAUUUGUCCGGGAAACUCUUCUGCAUCUCCUGUGGGAUUUCCAUCGUACUUUACAGCAGGUGCUCGCCGAUUUUCGCCUUAUAUAUACCCGAAAACAAUUCUCAAUACUUCAACUCCGGAAAUGUAUUGUGCCGGAGCGUUUCCGGUCCUUUCACCAGCUUAUUCUACAAAUAAAAGAAUUUGUCCUACAAAUGACAAUUUCAACGUGAAGCAAAAUGAACUUAAUAUGUAAAACAUUUUUAAAUAUAAUAAUUUCAGUGAUUGUACUUAGCAUAUACAUGUAUAUAUUGCCUCUUAAAAGAUUUAUGCUUACAAAUAAAAAAGAUUAUUUUUAU
rnacentral:misc_RNA from 1 species